rnacentral:lncRNA from 1 species
AUACUCUGAAAGUAUCUCUUCGGAUCCAGCAGGAAGCCAGGUAAAUUGUUCCCUGUUCAUGGGUUUCUUGCUUAUAGAAAUACUUCUCUUCUCUGUAGGUUGUUAAAUAUCAGACUAACUUGAUAUUUUUUUCUCACCACUGAAUCUUACCCAGACCGAAAUGUUGAGAUAAAUGUCCAACUUUUCCCCUGCACAAAAUUCGGGAGGAAUAUUCAAAACGAGUGUUUCAGUCAAACUGUGGUUUGUGUUCAGAUGCCUCUCAUGAAUGGUCACCAUUUCAUGGGUGUUCUAGUCUUCAUAAGAAAAGAGUCUCUGAAUUUGGCAUAGCUGAAAUUGUUUGGAGACACAACAUCCCCAAAAAUAUUUCCUACAGAGAAAAUUUUGGGGAAUUUGGGGGGGUUCAAAUGGAACAGAGGGAGCUCUCCCCUACAGAGUCAGAUCGCUGGUCAACCUAGCUCAGUACUGUCUACAUUCACCAACAAGUGUUCUCCAGGAUUUCAAACCGGGCCCUUCCCAGUCCUAUCAUCAGAUGCUGGUGAUUGAACGUGAAAUCUUCUGCAUGGAAAAAAAAUAAUAUGAUGAGCCACUUGAGUUAUGGGAAUUCAAUAAUUCUUCCUGCCCUACCUGGAGAUCCUGGGGAUUGAAACUAGGAGUUUCUGUAUGCAAAGCAGAUGCUCAGCCACUGAGCUAUGGCCCCUUCCUCAAGUGGGCACAUUCUCGUUAUGCAAUGGAAGAGAUGCAGUAGAAGGAAAGCAACAUGCUUUGAGAAGGUUGAUGCAAUGUAUUGCAGAGGCAUUCAUUCUUGCCAUGGAAUCCCACCACACGGGAGAUCAGUUGCAGAUUUAGGCAACAGUGUCCUUGCUAUACCAGGUUGCCUAUGAUAGACCUCCAGUUUCAGAAGCAGGGGAGCCUCUGAAUGCCAGGGCUGGGAAACAGCCAUAUAGAGAGUGCUGUUUCAACAAGGUCUCCUUAUUAGCUUCCCAUUGGGUCCUCUCGCUGGCCACUGUGAGAACAGGAUGCUAGACUGGAUGAGCCUUUGGUCAGAUGUACAACUAAGAUCAGGAGCUUGGGCCAAUUUUCUCUCUUCCCACCCCUCUCUCUGAUAGACAUAUAGCCACUGGUGGGAGAUGCCAGAGACAAAAGAGGGAGGGGUAAUAAAUGUAAAUGACACCUUUUCUGCAGUGGGCAAAUUUCUGCAUGCAAUUGCACACUCCUCUGUCUCUUCCUUUCAGACAAGUGAGAGGAUUUGACAGAUUUCAAGAACACCUUCCAGGCAGGCCAAAAAAAGGGACUUGAAGCAGGGUCAGGGUCAGUUGUGAAUUGUGCAGAAGAAGGGGUGUGGCUGUCAAGAAGGAUGUGUGACUUGGGAAGAGUUCUGGGAGCUAGGUAGAGGGGCCUGGAGUUGGCACCUGGGUCUGGGUCUGUUUUAAUCCAAUAACAGUAGAUUAUAAUCGCUGCAUCCAAAUGUCAUUUCAGAUCUACCCUCCCUGCUCCAACAUGUCUUUCCUGAAUGACAGUAUGCUGUUGGAAGACUUCUAUGAGCCAGAAAUGGAUGCAUUCUCCAGCUUUGACUCCUUGUCUUAUCAGUAUCCAGGCUGCUACCCACAACGUCCACAGUUUCCUGGCCGGAGUUGGGGAUGUCCUCGGGGGUAUCGCCCCAUCACAGGGUGCAUCCCCUGCUAUCCUGGUCUGCCGUGUCCUCCAGGGUACCGUGUCAUAAGGGUUUGUGUCCCUUUUGGCCGACCUUACUACCAAGGAAAAGGCUGGCCAUGUAAAUCCGAGACACAACAUUGACGGAACAUCCAAGAAAGAAGACUCAAGAUUCUGAUCCUUGGCUGAAUGAAUGAAUGUGGUAUUCAGAAAUGCUGAGUGCUCCAGAAUCCCCACUGUGGAACCUGUGGGAUUUGUGAGGCCUCAGCACUUCUCUUACCAAUCCAGAUGCUGCUUUUACUUUACUCCUUUGAGUUUUUCCUAUCUUGGCAUACUUAUCUUAAGAGCAGGCUCCUGUUUCCCAGCCAAAUCUAUCACCUUCUAUUCCACCCAUUGCUGAUGAAUCAGGACCCUCUACCACAGCUACUUCAACUAUGAAAGAUACUAAGUCAACAUGGCCAAAGUGAAGACUGGUGGUCAACCCUGUUGGCUUAGCCUACAAUGAUUUAUCAGCUUUGUCUUUGUGAUGUCUACAUGUCAACAUGUCUGAUUAUUGUUUUUUCAGUGUUCCCUCUUGCAUUUAUCUCCAUCUGCCCUGAGUCAUUUCCACUGACUCCUUCCUUCAUUUUCUCAUUAAAGUUUUC